GACGAACGCUGGCGGCGUGCCUAAUACAUGCAAGUCGAACGAACCGCGACUAAGUGCUUGCACUAAGUCAAGGUGAGUGGCGAACGGGUGAGUAACACGUGGGUAACCUACCUCAUAGUGGGGGAUAACAGUCGGAAACGACUGCUAAUACCGCAUAGGACAUAGGAUCACAUGAUCCAGUGAGGAAAGGUGGCGCAAGCUAUCGCUAAGAGAUGGACCCGCGGUGCAUUAGCUAGUUGGUAGGGUAAAGGCCUACCAAGGCGAUGAUGCAUAGCCGACCUGUGAGGGUGAUCGGCCACAUUGGGACUGGGACACGGCCCAAACUCCUACGGGAGGCAGCAGUAGGGAAUCUUCCGCAAUGGACGCAAGUCUGACGGAGCAACGCCGCGUGAGUGAAGAAGGUCUUCGGAUCGUAAAGCUCUGUUGUUAGAGAAGAACAGCGCAUAGAGUAACUGCUAUGCGUGUGACGGUAUCUAACCAGAAAGCCACGGCUAACUACGUG
rnacentral:rRNA from 1 species